AAACCUUAAGGUCGGGCUCCACCUGGAUUUCUCAUCCAGGUCGGCCCGGCCUGCCUAGCCUCUCAUAUAGGUCCCCUUUUGGGCUCGGUUCUCAUCUCAUCUCUCGGCCCAGCCCAGAACUAAGAAGGAGUUCAGCCCCUUCGCCUUGUGGGACCAUCCGCAUGCGCACCCGGGGAGAAUCAGGGGCCGUUAUGCACGGGACAGAGAUCUGAUUCCCU
rnacentral:lncRNA from 1 species